UGGUCAUAUGGUUUCAAUUUCUAGUACCUGAUUGAUUAUGUCUAUUAUUCAUAGGAUAAUUGCAAUCACUUUUUGGUGUCUAUUCUCUUAGAAUUGAAAAUGUUGGAGUUAGGAGGCCACCCAGUGAUGAUGUUAAAAUCCAGGGUGUUGCAAAUCCAAAUGAUUUCAGGAAGGCUGUUAUGAUGCGUCUAUCGAACAUGAGAAAUGAGAUUUUGUCAAGACAGGUCUCUACAUUAGAAGAUGUUCCACAUCAUCUGAUGAUGUCUCCAUCAAAGUCAUUAAAACAUGAUUCUAAUCCUUCUGGGGAGCUGCUACCAAUGCAGAAACUGGAGGAAGUUGGAAGCUCUGUCAAGGCAGGAAGUAAACAUGAGAUAUAGUAUUGUUAUUUGCCAGGAGAAACAGGAAGUUUAAUUGCCCUGAGAUAGAAAUGCAAUAAAAAGAGAGGAAAGGAGAAGAAAAAAUAUUUAGAUGUAUGUUUCUGGAGUUGGUUUUAUUCUUUUGGCUAAAUACCAGGGUAUGUUGUUUACUGCAGAGAAUAAAAUCUUUAUUUGAGGAGCAACAAUCUCAAACAACAGAAUCCAUAGAUUAAGGGAAUAUGGUAGAUAGUAAUCAAUAUCUCUUCCAGGGCAGUUCAGAUCAAACAAAUAUUAGUUUCACUUGGUUAACAGUCCCUAGAAGUGGUUGUUGCUGCCACCUGCAAUAUUUUAGUAUUAGUUUGUAUUUCAUUUUUUUAUCAGCAAAUGUUAGUUUGUUAAAAUGAUAGUUUGUAUUCCAUAGUGCUCAAGUGGGCCUUGUAUUCCUGUUUUUAUAGAAAAACUUGUACAUCUUGAUUGUUAUGUGUGGCUUGAACGUAUCUAUCUUGACUUGACAUAAAUACGUUUCAAAUUUUUUUA